rnacentral:rRNA from 1 species
UACGUAGGGUGCAAGCGUUGUCCGGAAUUAUUGGGCGUAAAGAGCUCGUAGGCGGUCUGUCGCGUCUGCUGUGAAAACUUGGGGCUUAACCCCAAGCCUGCGGUCGAUACGGGCAGACUUGAGUUCGGCAGGGGAGACUGGAAUUCCUGGUGUAGCGGUGAAAUGCGCAGAUAUCAGGAGGAACACCGGUGGCGAAGGCGGGUCUCUGGGCCGAUACUGACGCUGAGGAGCGAAAGCAUGGGGAGCGAACAGG